AGUGAACGCUGGCGGUAUGCCUAACACAUGCAAGUCGAACGGCAGCACAGUAAGAGCUUGCUCUUACGGGUGGCGAGUGGCGGACGGGUGAGGAAUACAUCGGAAUCUACUUUUUCGUGGGGGAUAACGUAGGGAAACUGACGCUAAUACCGCAUACUACCUACGGGUGAAAGCAGGGGAUCUUCGGACCUUUCGCGAUUGAUUGAGCCGAUGUCGGAUUAGCUAGUUGGCGGGGUAAAGGCCCACCAAGGCGACGAUCCGUAGCUGGUCUGAGAGGAUGAUCAGCCACACUGGAACUGAGACACGGUCCAGACUCCUACGGGAGGCAGCAGCGGGGAAUAUUGGACAAUGGGCGCAAGCCUGAUCCAGCCAUACCGCGUGGGUGAAGAAGGCCUUCGGGUUGUAAAGCCCUUUUGUUGGGAAAGAAAAGCAGCAGGUUAAUACCCCGCUGUUCUGACGGUACCCAAAGAAUAAGCACCGGCUAACUUCGUG
rnacentral:rRNA from 1 species